GAACGCACAUUGCGCCCUUUGGCAUUCCUUGGGGCAUGCCUGUUCGAGCGUCAUCUCAAAACUCAAGCACCGCUUGGUCUUGGGCGACCGUCCCGCCUCGCGCGCGGACCCGCCCCAAAAGCAUUGGCAGCCGGCGCCCCGGUCCUCGAGCGCAGCAGAUCGCGCCUCGAGCCGGGCGGCCGGCGUUCCAGCAAGCCUAACCAACCCAUGGUUUGACCUCGGAUCAGGCAAGGAUACCCGCUGAACUUAAG
rnacentral:misc_RNA from 1 species